rnacentral:tRNA from 1 species
GGGUAUAGUUUAGUGGUAGAGCGCACGCCUGAUAAGCGUGAGGUCGAUGGUUCAAGUCCAUUUAGGCCCA